UCAUAUUAAAUCGUAAUGAUUAAAUUCUCUUUGAUUUAUAUUCUUUUCUUGUCAUUGUUUUGCUGUGAUAUGUCGUGACAUCCAUACAUAAUGCUUGUUAUUUAUACAAAAUAAUGACCCUCCACACAUUUAUGAGAUUAGAUGGGUAUAAUGUAAUUUAAAAUAUGGAUCCCCAAAGAAAAACAGCUGCUGGACCAAUGGCCCCAUCCAGUUUGAAAACAGCUCGGAAAAGUUUUGCAAUAUGCAAUACCUACAUAAAAAACUUAAAUCCUCAGAAAGAAAUUAUAACAGUUCACACUAGCACUCCCAACGUUGAACAUCGCUCGUUUCAUAGUGAACAAAAUCAAAUUUAUCAAGGCGAAGUAAAUGUGCUUUCGAUAAUUAAUACUAACAAAGAUAUUAUGUGUUGUAAAUACACUGAAGAUGUCAAAGAAGUUGCAGCGGGUUUUAUUGAUGGAACAAUAAGAUUGUUCGAUUGCAAUACUGGAAAUUGUACACAUAACUUAAUAGAUGACGAGUGUCGUGUUUAUCCUGGUCCUGUAACGGCUAUAAAACAUAGGCCAAUUAGCAAGGCACAUCCUAUUACGAAUAUGCUUUUGUCAUCUUAUGUCAAUGGCUGCAUAAAAUGUUGGAAAUAUAAAUAUGAACAAUGUUUGUAUACGAUAAGAGAAAAACGGCAAACUUUAGGCUUGUGUUACCAUCCACGUUACACCAAAUUUAUUACAUUCGGAGAUGAUGCUAAACUUAACAUGUAUGACGAAGAAGCACAAACACAAGAAAGAUCUUUUUAUUCCAGUCAACGAAAAAACAUUGUGGAUGGUCACACCUCAAGAAUAUUCGCUUGCGUCUUUAACCCUAAAUCACAUCACGAAUUGAUCUCCGGUGGUUGGGAUGACACUAUUAUAUGUUGGGAUGACAGACAGCCCUACGCAACACGUUUUUUUUCUGGUAUACAUAUGUGUGGCGAAGGAUUGGACUUUGAUAAACCUGGAAAGCAGAUUUUAACAUGUUCUUGGCAAGAUAAAGAUAGUAUUCAAAUUUGGGAUUAUGGAUCAUGCAAGCUUAUAGAAACUAUUGUACCUGAUAUUUACCAGUCAAAAUUAUAUUGUGGCAAGAUGGUACCGCAAACCAAUUUAAUUAUUUGUGGCGGUUCUGACCCUAAUAUUUUGAGAGUCAUUGACAUCAAUAUGAAAGUUUGGCGUAGCUUGGGGGUGUAGAGAUGCGAUCCACACCGAGCGGCACUUUAGCAGGGGCGGCAUUUCACAGAUGGCGGGAAAAAAAUGUUUAUGCAAUAUUAUCAAACAAAAUAUUCGUUUUUUGUUUACAUACAUAUAUGUUAUUCAUAUGCCAUUUUCACUUAUCAGACAGAAUGUUCAAUACGCAACAACCCAGGAAGCAUAUAUGCAUUCGACUUUGGAACAGUACGACGAAAACCGAGUAAAAUCCCAGACACUUAUAAAAAAAUUAGUGAAAUACAAAAUAC